UACGUAGGGUGCGAGCGUUGUCCGGAAUUACUGGGCGUAAAGAGCUCGUAGGUGGUUUGUCACGUCGUCUGUGAAAUUCCGGGGCUUAACCUCGGGCGUGCAGGCGAUACGGGCAAUACUUGAGUGCUGUAGGGGAGACUGGAAUUCCUGGUGUAGCGGUGAAAUGCGCAGAUAUCAGGAGGAACACCAAUGGCGAAGGCAGGUCUCUGGGCAGUUACUGACGCUGAGGAGCGAAAGCCAGGGGAGCAAACGGG
rnacentral:rRNA from 1 species